UUCAGUAAGAAUUUAAUUUUGGUUCUGAUUGAACGUUUUUCAGUAGUUUUAAGACAUGCAAAUCGUUGUUACUAAAAUUUUAUAGAUUAAAUUAUAUUCUCUAUUAAUAUAUUGAAACUAAUAAAAAAUAAAAUAAAUAAAAACAAGGUGUAAAGGUGAGUAUAAUAAAUUAGAUACCCUAUAGACUCCUUAAUUCGGAGAUAAUUUUAUUUCUCUAUUUAAUUAUUAGAUUACAAAUAAUCAACAUAAAUGGUAAUUGAAUAAGAGAUACUUUUUUAAAAAUAGAAAAACAAAAAAAGAUUAUUAAUCUUAACAAAAAAAUUAAGAUUAAAUUAGCUAAUCUUUCUCAAAUAAAUCAAAAUUUUAAUACAAUUAAAUUUUAGAUAAUAAUUAGAGUUAUAUUUUUCAAAUAAGAAUAAAUAAAAGAUAAAUUAGCUAUUUAUUAACAAAAGGAAAUUUUCUGCUAUAGGAUUUGAUUUAUUUUGUUUAAUGGUAGUUGGUAGGGUAAAAGCCUACCAAGCCUACAAUCAAAAGCCAUGUUUGAUAGAGCAGAUGGCCACAUUGGGAAUGGAAAGCCCCAAGUAGUGUAAACUACCAGCAGUCAAGAAUAUUAGUCAAUGCUCGCAAGAGUGAACUAGCUAACUGAAAUCAUAUGACUCAUUAAUAUGGUGAUUAUGAUAACAUAAGGGAAAAAAAUGAUAUUACCUUAUUAUUAGUGUUGUCCAAAACUGGUGCCAGAAGACUCGGUAAGACCAGAGACGCAAACGUUAGUCAUCUUAAUCAGGCGUAAAGGGUUUGUAGGCUGCUUUAAAGUUUUAAAUCUUUGUAAUAGCUCUUUUACCGUAAUACUAUAUUUAUUUAUUUGAUAUGAGAAUAAACUAAAAUAUAGUAUAUAAAAUUUAUUAUCUAAAAUAAAAAAAAUGAUAUUAAAUAAAUAUCCGUGUAUUAGUAAAGAAAUAAAAAAAUUAAAGCUAGGAUCAAAUUGAGGAUAAACCAAAUAAUACUUAGAGUAGGGCUUAUAUCCGUAGAUACUAAGGGGAAUACUAAAGGUGAAAACUUUUUAUCUACUAUUGAUUGACGCUGAGAAACGAAGGUGAGAAUAGGAAAUAGGAUUAGAUACCCAGAUACCUCUCACUGUCAACGAUGAAUGGUGGUUUGUUAGUUUUAAUAAAAACUGGUAACGAUGUUAACACGAUAACCAUUCCGCCUUGCGAGUACGGUUGCAAAACUGAAACCAAAAAAAUUAGUCGGUCUCGAAGCAAACGAAGUGAAGCAUGUUAUUUAAUACGAGAAUACGCGUAAAACCUUACCAGUUCUUGCAUAUCCAAUUAUGUUCUUAGUUAAUUCUAAGUUCUUUUUAAUAAGAAAAACAGAUUGAGUAAUUUUUAUAAAUUUAAAAAUUCGUUUACAGGUGUUGCAUGGCUGUCGUCAGUCCGUGCCGUGAGAAGUGAGGUUAACUCCACUAACGGACAAAAUCCCUGUUGUUAAUUUAUACUUAGCAAUUAAUGAAUUUUAAAUAUUUUCAUUUGGGGCUAAGACAAGCCGUUAUGGCCCUCAUGAACUGGGCUAUAGACGUGCCACAAAAACUUUUACAAAGUGAAGCAAAACUAGAUCUAUAAGCUAGUGCUAUUUAGCAUUUUAGUUAUAUUUAUUUAAAGGGUCAGAAGGAAUAGCUAAUCAUUAAAGAAAGUUAAAAUAUUAAAUAUUUAGACGGAUUGUUGCCUGCAAUUCGGUGACAUGAAGAAGGAAUUUCGAGUAAUCGUUGAUCAGUAACGCAACGGUGAAGAAAGCAUUCGGGAUGAACUAACUGUCUGUCGCUGGGAAGAAGUUUAAUUUGAGGGAAACUGCCGCAAGAUUCUCACUUUAGCAAAGGAAUACUUCAUUUAAUAAUAUCAAUUAUGAAAUAUAAUUAUAUUAUUAUAAUAUUUAAAUUAAGUCUUUAAUUAUAUUUAAUUUAAUAGUAGUUUGUAUGCUAAUAUUAAAAAUACAAUAGUUUUAUAUUGUAAUUAGUCUUUUAUAAUAAAACACUUUUGUUAAGCUAAUUAGUUUCAGUUAACUCAUUUAAAUAACAUCUCAAAAGUCAUAGCAAGGUAGCUGUACUGGAAAGUGCUGCUGGAAAAUAAAUUAU
rnacentral:rRNA from 1 species